AGUGAACGCUGGCGGUAGGCCUAACACAUGCAAGUCGAACGGCAGCACAGUAAGAGCUUGCUCUUACGGGUGGGGAGUGGCGGACGGUGGAGGAAUACAUCGGAAUCUACUUUUUCGUGGGGGAUAACGUAGGGAAACUUACGCUAAUACUGCAUACGACGUACGGGUGAAAGCAGGGGAUCUUCGGACCUUGCGCGAUUGAAUGAGCCGAUGUCGGAUUAGCUAGUUGGCGGGGUAAAGGCCCACCAAGGCGACGAUCCGUAGCUGGUCUGAGAGGAUGAUCAGCCACACUGGAACUGAGACACGGUCCAGACUCCUACGGGAGGCAGCAGUGGGGAAUAUUGGACAAUGGGCGCAAGCCUGAUCCAGCCAUGCCGCGUGGGUGAAGAAGGCCUUCGGGUUGUAAAGCCCUUUUGUUGGGAAAGAAGAGCAGCAGGUUAAUACCUCGCUGUUCUGACGGUACCCAAAGAAUAAGCACCGGCUAACUUCGUG
rnacentral:rRNA from 1 species